GUGUCCCCAGAGGCUUGGUCCCUGGGCAUGCCUAGACUCUGCUUGUCUGUGUGCUGCUAUAGACCAGCCCACAACACUGCCUGGCUCUUCGUGCUCUGUCUUUGCAUGCACAUGUCUCGAAUUAUCAAGACAAAGCAGUGGUGUGACAUGCUUCCUUGCCUGGAGGGGGAAGGCUGUGACUUGUUAAUCAACCGGUCAGGCUGGACUUGCACACAGCCAGGAGGGCGGAUAAAGACCACCACGGUCUCCUGACAAUCGCAGCCCCUGCGGUGCCCCCUGGGAGUGGCUGUGGCUCCCCGGAGAUUCUACACCUCAGCCACAGUCCUCCAUCCUGUGUGGACAUCGCUCGACCUCCCCCAUCCACCCACUGUUUCCCAGAGGCCUAACAAAGACAUCCCAAUUCCUCGGAGCUCUGAGCUUAAGUCUGUCCAGCUGAACCCAGGAGGCCGGGACUCAGACACACAUGUCAAGGGUGGUGCCAGGAAUCAGCAAUACCUGGUGUGUAGAGCCCGGCUACAUUCAUCCUCACUAGCCGCUUGCUCCCUGGAGUUGGAGGACCAGAACAAGGAGACUGCGGCCCGGCCAGCUGAGCCACAACGCAAGGUCCGGGGACUGUCAGGUGCAGAAGCCACCACCUCCUCUGUCCCAGACUGUCUGAAUCGCUUUUAUUUUCUUAUACUUUCAGUAUACUCAAUAGACCAAAGAGCAAAUCUAUUUUAACGUGGACACAUCCCUGCUGCCAAGAGUUCCCCCAGGUUUGAUUGUGGGGCGGGGGAGGGCACAGUGGCAGACAUGCUGGUGGCCCAGGCACCAUGGAGAGGGCAUCCAAGGCCAAGACCCCCGCCCCACGAACACUGCAGCGUGCCCUAGGAGGAUGGCUUUGCCCAGAAGGACACCACCGUGGUGCACCUGCAGGACCCAGCAGGGGCGUGGCCGGCAACAGCCCCCAGCGGACAGCAAGGGCCCCGGACACAGACCCUUUGCCCCUGUGCUUAGACCAACUCUAUCGUACUAAAAUCACUUUCUGUUUUAACCAGUUAGACAUGCCUCUUCCACAGCUCCAUUUUUGAUAGUUGGAUAAUCCACCAUUUGCCAAGAGCAUGCUGGGUCUCCCGUGACUGCUAUCUCAUCUGAUGCACCAUUUAGCUCCAGAAAGCAAAUUAAAGAAAACUGAAGUAACCCUGUUUGAAAGAGAUCAUUAAAUGUAUUUUGCAAAAGCCUAAAGUUAUAUAUUUAACAGUUUUUAUAUGUUGUAUAUUUGUAGAAAAUCCUAUUUAACAUUUGACAGCAGGUCUGACCAUCCUGAGAGUUGUGACCAGGCCCCCUGGAAGCCUGGAGACUCUGGAGUGGCCAUGGAGGACCUCAGAGCAGACACGGAGGGGCAGAGCUGUGGGUGAAGUGCAGAGGAACCCACCCAUUCUAGGAAGCUCUGACUCUCUUUGCUCUGGUUUGGUCUGAUAGCUCACACCCCCCUGUGAGUCUGUGUGUUGGUAAACAUUGCGUAUACAAUAUUUUGGUCACGGAUUUUGGUCCCUCUCUCUCUCUUAACCCCCUUUGCCAUCCAUAGAUCUUGAGUCCAUGUACGGCCAACUUGCCCUUCCCAGAUGAAUGGCCCCCCUUCAUUCUCAGAGGUCCUUGUUCUCCACAUUGGGAGGCUGAGACAGCAGG
rnacentral:lncRNA from 1 species